rnacentral:lncRNA from 1 species
AAAAUUUAUCUUAUGUUUAGAUAAUUUAUUAAACGAGUGAUCUCAAUCUCAAGUGCAUUUUGUCCCAAACAUGAGUAGGCUCGUGAAUAGGGGUGGUAAUCAAGUUCGCUGUUCGCAAGCUAGCUUGUGUUCGGCUCGAAAUGAGAGCGAGAUCGACUCGCUUGUUUAGUAAACGAGCCGAACAUGAGCUGAAUUUUUCAACUCGUUUAGUAAAGGAGUCGAGCAAGAGCUGGGAUUAACUCGGUCAUGUUCGGCUCGAUAACAGUUUGAAUACAUACAUUUUAUAUUUAUAUAAAAAAAUAAAUAAUUAUAUAUAUAAUAUAAAUUUUUAUUAUUUAAUUUUUGGUCCAAUCUAAAUAUAAAGUCUAACUCAAUUAUAAAAAUGUCUAUGUAUAUGUAAAAUUUCAACCGUUAGAUCAAAGCCUGAUGGGUACAAUCUCAUAAAUUUAUUUUCUAUAUAUAUCAUUUUUAAUCCUUUUAACUUAUUUGUUGGUGAGCCAGCUUGUGUUCGGCUCGUAUUCGGCUCGUUAAUAAACGAGCCGAACAUGAGCUAAAUUUUCGACUUUAUACUUUAACGAGCCAGUUCGUGUUCGGAUCGUUUAUGAAAUGAGUCGAACACGAGCCGACCCCAGCUCGCGUGUUCAGCUCGUUGACACCUCUACUCGUGAACAUACCAAAUGAAACUCAUCCAAUUUAGAAACUAAAGAUCUUUU